UUGUUUUAGUCUUACAAAAAUUUAAAUUAGUUGAAAUGAAUCACCGUGAAGCGGUAGUUGUAUUGCACCUGACAGUUUUAUACUUGAACUACAAAGGUAGUUGUCAAAUAUUAGUUUACACAAAUUAUAAUUAUAAACAGAUUUUAUUGAAUAGAUAGGUAUGAGUGAGGUGAAUGAUUAAGGAUAUGAAUGCAUAACUGAGGACAAGAGAUUACAGGGAGAUAAGAUAAGAGGAAAAAGAUAAGAAGGAGUAAGGGAAGAGAAGAAAGGGAUCGCCGAUGGUUGUAUAACUGAAGAUGGUUCCUCGGAAGCUGGUAUAACUCGGGGUAGGUACAACAAUAGGUGUGCCUCGGCUUCGAUAACCCUUGGUGCUAUCCUGAAGUUCUGAUAGAAGAAAUAGAAGUGACGCUGACGAAGACGGAAGAAUAGAGAGAAUAGAAUGGCUAAA